UACGGGGGGGGGCAAGCGUUGUUCGGAAUUACUGGGCGUAAAGGGCUCGUAGGCGGCCAACUAAGUCAGACGUGAAAUCCCUCGGCUUAACCGGGGAACUGCGUCUGAUACUGGAUGGCUUGAGUGUGGGAGAGGGAUGCGGAAUUCCAGGUGUAGCGGUGAAAUGCGUAGAUAUCUGGAGGAACACCGGUGGCGAAGGCGGCAUCCUGGACCAUUACUGACGCUGAGUGAGCGAAAGCCAGGGGAG
rnacentral:rRNA from 1 species